GACGUGGUAUUCCUGUCGUUAGAGCCGUCGGCUGAGGCCUGAUUGGUCGCAGGUUCGAGUCCUGCCCGUGUCC
rnacentral:tRNA from 1 species